rnacentral:lncRNA from 1 species
CCGGGCAAAAAAUUGGGGAGCAUAAAUUUCUACCCCUGCUUUGGCGUUGGUCCCAGUUAAGAUAUCGUGGAAAAGCUCCCUCCCAGUUAAGAAUUGAAUCCAAAUGAGCAGAGAGGUGCUCGCGCUAUCUAGAGUGGAAGGAGGAUGUACAUAGUCCGGAGUCAAAAAAGGAGGAAAAGGGAAGAAGGAAGAGAUUGAAUCUAAAGAAUAAAAGAAUGAAAAAAUGUCUCUUCUAGACAUACUUACAGGAGUUAGGGGCUCCAUAGCUAGCCCGUAACAGCUAGCGGAAGGACGAGAAAUGGAUGGAGCACCAAGUGAUGGAAAAUAGGAUCUCAACCACAGUUGAGUGAACCAAAGAGGUCCACUGCCAGUAGGAGAUGCAC